UGAGGGGGUUGGAGCUUAGAGAGAGAGUGUACUGGGCGUACCCCUCUGAGAAUACUGGUGACGUGCCUCCCUAUUUCAUGCUGGCACUUCACCGAAUUUAUUUCACUAACUUUCCAAUCCUUCCGAUUCCUUCCCUAGUUAGUGAAAUACUCUUGUAUUCUGGAUUGUGUAUAUCUCAGAUGGGUGCUGCCUUCUUCUUUUAUGUCCGG
rnacentral:lncRNA from 1 species